rnacentral:lncRNA from 1 species
AUUUAACCCUAAACUUUAUAUGAUUACACAAUUUCCCAUUUCUCAACUAUAAAUACCCCCUCAUUCUUUCAUUUUAAUCCACCAAUUCAUCAAUCUUACUCAAUCACUCUCAAGCUCUCUUUCAAUCUUUCUGUGCAAGUGCUUAAUUUUUGUUGCAAAUUCGUGAAACAUUGUGAAGUUGUUGAAUUGAAGUUUUCAAGUGU